AUGAAGCUUUGCCUUUUGGCUUAGAUCAAGUGUAGUAUCUGUUCUUUUCAGUUUAAUCUCUGAAACGUGACUACGGUCACAUUCAAGAUUAUUCUUAUUUUUGCACCUAGUGGACGGCUCCCUGGGCUUGCUCAUAGUCGUCCUCACAGUGUCGUCCGUAUCGCACUACCUCGGACUGACGCGAACUUUU
rnacentral:snRNA from 1 species